rnacentral:tRNA from 1 species
AGGGGUUUAGUUUACUUUAAAACAUUAACUUGUCAAGUUAAAAAUAAUUUAAUAUAAAUAAUUAACCCUUA